GGCAACGUUCAUACCAACGGGAUCGCGGAAGCUAAGCCCGUUUGGGCCCGUUCAGUACUGCCGUGGGUGACCAGGCGGGAAUCACGGGUGAUGUUGCUC
rnacentral:rRNA from 1 species